rnacentral:snRNA from 1 species
CUGUCAAAGAGAUCACGCCAAAU